rnacentral:rRNA from 1 species
ACGCUCGACACCUACGGGAGGCAGCAGUGGGGAAUAUUGCACAAUGGGGGAAACCCUGAUGCAGCGACGCCGCGUGAGCGAAGAAGUAUCUCGGUAUGUAAAGCUCUAUCAGCAGGGAAGAAGAUGACGGUACCUGACUAAGAAGCACCGGCUAAAUACGUGCAAGCAGCCGCGGUAAUCUGAGCGGGCUGGCAAGGC